rnacentral:rRNA from 1 species
UAUUGGUCAAUGGGCUGGAGCCUGAACCAGCCAAGUCGCGUGAGGGAAGACGGUCCUAUGGAUUGUAAACCUCUUUAGGCGGGGAGCAAUGCCGGGCACGCGUGCCCGGAGGGAGAGUACCAGCAGAAUAAGCAGCGGCUCACUCCGUGCCAGCAGCCGCGGUAAUACGGAGGAUGCGAGCGUUAUCCGGAUGUAUUGGGUUUAAAGGGUGCGUAGGCGGAUUCUUAAGUCAGCGGUAAAAUGUCCGGGCUCAACCCGGGCCGGCCGUUGAAACUGGGGGUCUUGAGUAGGCGAGAAGUAUGCGGAAUUCGUGGUGUAGCGGUGAAAUGCAUAGAUAUCACGCAGAACUCCGAUUGCGAAGGCAGCAUACCGGCGCCCUACUGACGCUGAGGCACGAAAGCGUGGGGAUCGAACAGG